rnacentral:rRNA from 1 species
UGAGUACGAGACGCUAAGGCGUUGAAGCAGUCUAUGUCAGACUUCCAAGAAAAGCUCGCAAUGUCAUAACAAGAAAUGCCUGUACCAUAACCGACACAGGUGGGUAGGUAGAGUAUACUAAGGGGCGCGAGAUAACUCUCUCUAAGGAACUCGGCAAAAUGACUCCGUAACUUCGGGAGAAGGAGUGCCUUAUUUUUAUAAGGUUGCAAUAACAAGAUCCAAGCAACUGUUUACCAAAAACACAGGUCUCCGCUAAGUCGUAAGACGAUGUAUGGGGGCUGACGCCUGCCCAGUGCCAGAAGGUUAAAGAAGUUGGUUAGUUUCGGCGAAGCUGAUGACUGAAGCCCUGGUGAACGGCGGCCGUAACAAUAACGGUCCUAAGGUAGCGAAAUUCCUUGUCGGGUAAGUUCCGACCCGCACGAAAGGCGUAAUGAUUUGGAUACUGUCUCGGAGAGGGGCUCGGUGAAAUAGACUUGUCUGUGAAGAUGCGGACUACCUGCACCUGGACAGAAAGACCCUAUGAAGCUUUACUGUAACUUGAGAUUGAAAUUGGACUUUAUUUGCGCAGUAUAGGUGGGAGACGUUGAGAAUAUUCUUGCGGGAAUAUUGGAGUCAUCAGUGAGAUACCACUCUUGUAAUGUUAGAUUUCUAACUUUGUAUCAUUAUCUGGUCAAAGGACAGUUUCAGGCGGGCAGUUUGACUGGGGCGGUCGCCUCCCAAACGGUAACGGAGGCGCACAAAGGUUUCCUCUGAACGUGUAGAAAUCGUAUCUAGAGUGUAAAGGCAUAAGGAAGCUUGACUGUGAGACCUACAAGUCGAGCAGGGACGAAAGUCGGUCUUAGUGAUCUGACGGUGCUGAGUGGAAAGGCCGUCACUCAACGGAUAAAAGUUACUCUAAGGAUAACAGGCUGAUCUCCCCCAAGAGUUCACAUCGACGGGGAGGUUUGGCACCUCGAUGUCGGCUCAUCGCAUCCUGGGGCGGUAGUACGUCCCAAGGGUUGGGCUGUUCGCCCAUGAAAGCGGUACGCGAGCUGGGUUCAGAACGUCGUGAGACAGUUCGGUCCAUAUCCGGUGUAGGCGUUAGAAUAUUGAGAGGAGCCUUCUUUAGUACGAGAGGACCGAGAAGGACAUACCUCUGGUGUACCAGUUAUCGUGCCAACGGUAAACGCUGGGUAGCUAUGUAUGGAGUGGAUAACCGCUGAAAGCAUCUAAGUGGGAAGCCCACCUCAAGAUAAGUAUUCUC